CAGUAGCCGCGGGAAUACGAAGGGGGCUAGCGUUGUUCGGAUUUACUGGGCGUAAAGCGCACGCAGGCGGACUUUUAAGUCAGGGGUGAAAUCCCGGGGCUCAACCCCGGAACUGCCUUUGAUACUGGAAGUCUUGAGUAUGGUAGAGGUGAGUGGAAUUCCGAGUGUAGAGGUGAAAUUCGUAGAUAUUCGGAGGAACACCAGUGGCGAAGGCGGCUCACUGGACCAUUACUGACGCUGAGGUGCGAAAGCGUGGGGAGCAAACAGGAUUAGAUACCCCUGUAGUCCCUGUCUCUUAUAC
rnacentral:rRNA from 1 species